rnacentral:lncRNA from 1 species
UUAAUUCUUUGAAAUUCAUAUCUUUGAUAAUCUGACAAAUAUCUUGAUUUACUCUUUUUUUGUUUUACAAAUAAGUAAAUUAUCCUAAUUCUAUUGUUAUAUUUUGAAGAUUGUAAACUAUUUAUUUUUAAAUUAAUUUUUAGUUUUUAACUACUAUUUAUUUUUCUUAAAGAGAAUUUUAAAUUCUUUGAUUAACGCAAAUUAAAAAAUCUUUUAGAUUUCAAUCAAUCAAAGGUUUUAAAACUUAUUUUUUAAUACUCAUGUACUUCCAUCUUUUAUUUAUUUAUUAUAAUAAACCAAAAUCUAUCAAAAAACUUUUUUAAUAAAAAUAAAGUAUAAUAAGAUUUAUGCACUUAGAGAAUUAUUAAGACUUGUAUCCAAUACUAGAUUUAAAUUAUUAAGACUUGUAUCUAAUACUAAAUUUAGCCAUCUUAUGUACUAUUAUGGUAUAAUACAGUUGUAUGAUAAAAGAUAAAAAUAUGGAUUCUAUUAUAAAAGAACCUAAUUAAAAGAUAUAAUAGCAAAAUAUAAAUAAAAGAUAAAGAGAUAGUAAUUCUAUCUUUUUGUAAAAAAACUUUAUUUAUUUUGUACAGCUAUAAAUAAAGAAAAAUAAAGUAAAUUAAAAAAUUAAAUUAUAUAAGCAUUUUUUAAAAAAAAAUGUGAGAAUUGUUUAGCAAACAUUACUUUAAAAAAUCAAGAAUUGAUACUCAAAGAGGACCAAGUAUAAACCAAAAUUGAAAUCAUAUGCUAAGACACAAAAUCAUGCAUUGAGAAAAAUUCUAGGAUUAUUUAGUUAAUGAAAGAGAAUUGUUUAAGUACAAACUAAAAUAAUAAUAUAAAUGCAUUGACUUUGAGUGAUUUAAUAUGAGAUUAUAAUAUAAUAUAGAGAUGAUAUAAGAUGAUUUGAAUAUAGUUAAAAUAUUGAUUGAAUAUAGUCAAUAUAUGAUUGAAUAAAAUAUAUGCUAUAUAAUAUUAUAUAUGAGAUAUAUUACAUAUGAUUAUAUAUGGUAUAUGAUGUGUAUCACUAAAUUGACUUGUUUAUGUAUUUAACUCAAAAAUUUACUCUUAUUAUACUUAAAAUCUUAAGUUUUAAGAAUAAAUAAUAGAAUUCUUAGAUAAAUAAAAUAAUAGGUUGCUAGUAGCAAAUAUAUAAUUUAGGAUAGAAUUUAUUAAGACAGAUUUUCAAAAUGAAUAGGUUUUUUUUUUAAGUUAGUUAAUAUUAGAUGAUGGUUCAAUAGAAGUAGUUUUUUUGUUGUGGAUUCUUAAUUGAGAUAAGAAGCUAAAAAAGAAUGGUUAAUUUAAACCAAUUUUUUUAAAAAACUUUAGUUAUUGAUAAUUCAAAAAUAUAUAUAUAUAAAAAUAGAAAAUUAAAUUAGAAGUAAAAUCAAAAGAAUAGAAAUUAGAACAAAUUAAUAGAAGAAGGAAAAUUAAGAAAUGAAAAGAUAAGAAAAAAAAAUGGAAGAAAAAAGAGAGAAGAAGAGAAAGACAAGCAAUAUUUGGCAUGAGUGGUGACAUUUUUUUGAAGUUGGUUUGUGAUCUAUCAAGAAAAAAAAAUUACAUUGAGUAGUUGGAUUUUUAUUUUUUAUUUUAUUUUAUUUUAUUUAUUUAUUAUCAAGGAUCUUUUGGAUUAAUCAUCAAAAAUAGGAAUUUAUUGCCACCUGAUUAUUUGAGCUUUCAUGUUAUUGUUUUCUUAUUAAAAUUGUUAAAUUUUUGAUUGUUGUGCAUGGUUGUAAUUCUUGUUGUGAAAAGAACAAAAGAGAGUGAGGAUCUAUGAAGUCAAUUUUUGGAGGUUUUUUAAGUGGCAUUAUAGUGUAGAGGUCUUGUAAUCAAGCACUACAUUUAGGUACUACAUGCAACACAUUAAAUAUACAUUAGUUGAUUAGUAGAUUCUAAUUUUUUUUGUUGUAUAUAGUCAAUACUUGAACGUUUGGUAUGGUGUAUUUUUUUUUCUAGUUCCAUCUUUGAUUUACAAGUACUUGCCUUCACUUAUCUUUUUGAUAGUUGUACAUGAUUAUAUUAUUUUUAUUACAAUAGAUUAAACAAAGGAUAGAUUUGUGUGGUGAAUCUGCUCUCGUAGAAGUUUUUGGAGUCGCAAGAGCAAUCAAAGCUACAUGCACAAAGAAUUAUAUAUAGGAUUAAAUUGUGUUUGAACUUUUAGGUAGUUGAAUUUACACUUUGUUGCUUCAAAUCUAGACUCAGAUCACAAUUGUAUGGCAAGAUUGAAUCAUAAUUAUAGAAUUAUUUUGACUUUGUAUUAGAUUGAUAUAAAGAUCUAAUUUUCCAUGUAAUUGAAUUACUAGUUUCAAGUUUGAUUUGAGGUUUUCAAUGCCACUUAUUAAAUUUUUAUUUUUUUAUGUUGAUAUUUUGAAAAAAAAUUAGAUCUCAUUAUUAGCUUUUUAACAAGCUUCAGCUUAUAAGAAGAAAAACUAUAAUGAGAGAAAUCCAUGUAAGUUUAUAGGAGGGAGGUUAUUGAAAUUUUUGUGGCAACAUGAUUUAAGACUAGUGUUGUGAUGUAACAUGGCUAAUAAAUAAAAGAGAGAAUUAAAAUUAUAUUAUAAAAGAUCUUAUCUUAAAAUAUUAUAAAAAAUUAUCUUAAAAAAUAGGUAAUAGUCAAAAAGAUAGAAAAACUAAAAAAUACUAUUACUACCUUUUUAUAAAAUAUACUUCUAUUAUUUUGUAGGCCCCUAAAUAAGAAAAAAUAAAAUAGAUUGAAAAAUAAAUUAAUAUAAGCAUGUAUAGAAAGGAGUUGAGAAUAGAUUUUAGUAAAAUUUACUUGAAGAAGGUAAGAAUUGAUACUCAUAGGGGACUGGUUGUUAACUUAGAUCAAAAUCAAAUCCCAAGGCAUAAAACUACAUAGCUACAAUGACUUUGGGAUUCUUUGGUAGAUUACAGAGUGGAAUUUAAGAACAAACUGGUAAAGAGAUUUUUGACCAUUAGUUUUAUAUUAAUUUAAUUAAUAUUUAAUUUUGGUGGAAUUUUUAAAAUUAAUGAUGUUUUUGGUUGAUUUAGUUUUUGAAAAAUAAAACUAUGCUUACGCAUUUGAGGGUUUCUUAAGUUUUGUAGUAUGUGUACAAGUAAAUUUUAGAUAGAUUGUUGGUGUAUUAGUUUUAAAUGUAUGUACAAUUUUGAGGUCAAUAAAAUGGUUAGAUCAAAGUGUGUAAAGGUUUUUGUGGAUUGAGAUUUCAAAAAUUGGAGUUUGAAAGUCAAUGAGUAUUUUUAAGACCUUUAAUAAUUUGUAAAUUGGAUUGAAGUGAACUUUUUUUGUAUAAAAACUAAACUUGAUUUUCAACAAUUUAAGUAAAUUUUAAGAGAAAUUCAAUAGUUCAAAAGGGAGAUAUUGGUAAUGGAAGCUCAACAUUCAUCUUAGAAUAAGAGGCAAGCUACUAUUUGAGUAGAUUUUAGGAUUUUUUUUCAUUUGGUAAGUGCAAUUAUCUUCAAAUUUUUUAUAUUUAUUUUUAAUUAAGGAAUUGAAAGGUGUAUAAAUUUUUAAAUAAGAUCAAUGGUUUAAUCAAUACUUAUUAGAAUACUAAUCUACCUUAGGAUUGAUUUGAAUUGAUUAGGUUUUGAUUAGGAUUUGAUUUAGGAUUUAGGAUUUAUUUGGAACUAAAGAUUUUUCAAAGAUUUAGUUUAGAAUUCAAGAUUUAAUUAGGAUUUUAUCUAAUAUUUUAUUAAGGUUCAUUAAAAAUUUAAUUAAGAUUAAAAUAGGAUUUGAUUAUAAUUUAUUUAAGAUUUAUUCAAGAUUUUUCUAAAAUUUCUUUAGGAUUUUUUGUGGAUUUCUUUUGAAUUUCUUUAGAAUUUAUUUAAGAUCUACUUAUUAAUUUCUAAUAAUUUCUUUAUAAUUUCUUUAGAAAUUCUUUAGGAUUUUUUUUAUGUUUCUUUUGUAAUUUCUUUAAGAUUUCUUUUAGAUUUGAUUAAAACUUAAUUAGAAUUAUUAAGAUUUAAUUAGAGUUUAUUGAAGAUUCUAUUAGAGUUGUUAAUCAAAUCUAAAAGAAUAGAGUUGUUAUUGAAAUUUUCCUUCUACCUUCCACAGUCAAGUACCAGGUUCAUUCUCAAGCAAGAUUUCAUGUAAUACGACAUUGAUUUGGAAUUUUUUGUACCAUUUCUUGUAUUUUUUUUUUUU